UGGGGAGUGGUGUAACGGCAGCACGUCGCGCUCUGGACGCGAAGACUCUAGGUUCGAAUCCUAGCUCCCCAG
rnacentral:tRNA from 1 species